GAAAAAUUACUCUCUCGCCGCUUUUCAAAUCUACCGUGAGAUGAGGUGAUUUUGUCAAAAAUGAUUUUUAAAAAAUUCAUUAAAUAUCAAAAUUUGCUUUUAACUUUUUAAAUCACUUUUGAACUUCUCAAAGCAAUCCUAAACAGGCCCUAUGAAUGUUACUAACUACGCGUAACUUCCAAGCUUCUAUCUAAUCCGGCUUUUGGCAACUUAAAAUAAUAAUUAUUUAUACAAUAUAGAGUACUCUAUGAACUGGCAGUGGUAAGUGCCUACUGAUGGUUAAUGAGUAAGCAAGAUAUCAUUAUACCGUUUUUCCAUCCUUUGUACCUUUUGAUUUUGAUUUUUAAUUUUUUUUAAACCUUAGCAACUAUCUAGGAUAGUUUCUGAUUUUUCACUUAAAUUCUUUUGUCAACAUUAAGCCGAAAGACUUUACGUAAGCACGCGUCAACAUGAAAGUUGGGAGGGAUUUUAUUUUGGGUGGUCAUACAAGCUAGUAGCCCAUUGCUUUUUGGGUUUUUUUUCUACCUACCAAUGACUUGGAUUGGUUCGUAAGACGGUGAAAAUUGUUUUAAUGGAACUUACAACACAGAGUACUCCAUGAACUGGCAGUGGUAAGUGCCUCCUCAUAGUUAAUUAGUAAGAAAGAUAUCAUUCUACUGUUUUUUCCAUCCUUUGUACCUUUUGAUUUUGAUUUUUAAUUUUUUUUAAACCUUAACUACUACCUAGGAUAGUUUCUGAUUUUUCACUUAAAUUCUUUUGUCAACAUAAAGCCGAAAGACUUUAGGUAAGCACACGUCCACAUGAAAGUUGGGAGGGAUUUUAUUUUGGGUGGUCAUACAAGCUAGUAGCCCUUUGCUUUUUUGGUAUUUUUUUCUACCUACCAAUGACUUGGAUUGGUUCGUGAGACGGUGAAAAUUGUUUUAAUGGAACUUACAAUACAGAGUACACUAUGAACUGGCAGUGGUAAGUGCCUACUGAUAGUAAAUUAGUAAGCAAGAUAUCAUUGUACUGUUUUUUCCAUCCUUUGUAGCUUUUGAUUUUGAUUUUUAAUUUUUUUUUUAAACCUUUGCAACUAUCUAGGAUAGUUUCUGAUUUUUCACGUAAAGUCUUUUGUCAACAUAAAGCCGAAAGACUUUAGGUAAGCCCACGUCAACAUGAAAGUUGGGAGGGAUUUUAUUUUGGGUGGUCAUACAAGCUAGUAGCCCUUUGCUGUUUCGGCAUUGUUUUCUUCCUACCAAUGACUUGGAUUGGUUCGUGAGACGGUGAAAAUUGUUUUAGUGGAACUUACAAUACAGAGUACUCCAUGAACUGGCAGUGGUAAGUGCCUACUGAUGGUUAAUGAGUAAGCAAGAUAUCAUUGUACCGUUUUUUCCAUCCUUUGUACCUUUUGAUUUUGAUUUUUAAUUUUUUUUAAACCUUAGCAACUAUCUGGGAUAGUUUCUGAUUUUUCACUUAAAUUCUUUUGUCAACAUUAAGCCGAAAGACCUUAGGUAAGCACACGUCAACAUGAAAGUUGGGAGGGAUUUUAUUUUGGGUGGUCAUACAAGCUAGUAGCCCUUUGCUUUUUUGGUAUUUUUUUCUACCUACCAAUGACUUGGAUUGGUUCGUGAGACGGUGAAAAUUGUUUUAAUGGAACUUAAAAUGAGCCCAAGUCACAAACUUUGGAAUGAUAUAUACUGGCUAUAAUUCCUUGUAAACCAUAUAUGUAAAGAGACAGGUGAAUAGGUAGUAGUUAUCAAUUAUUUUGUCAAAUAGCUCUCGAAAUACUCUUCUUUUGAUCUUUCUAUUUUCUUCUUCUGUUGUACUAUGGCAUGUUGCAGUGGG
rnacentral:lncRNA from 1 species